GCCCCCCGGCGGGCGGAGCCCGGCGCCGCGGCCAGGAUUUCCCACCUCGCUCCCGCGACUCCGCUGCGGGUCUGCACACCCGAGGACUCGGGGUACUUAACCGAAACUAGCAAUCCCAGGCGGUACAAGGCCCUCCAUCGUAGGCAAAGCACUACCUGAAUGUAGAUUUGGGGCCAUACGUUGGAAAAUAAGACAUGAGAGUAUGCUCCGAUCAACUUUUACUGUUUACUGGACAACUAUUUUGGGAAUUUGCAGACCUAUAAAGCCCAUCUAUAAAUCUCAAGCAUGUCCACUUUCAGAGAAGAGAAAUGCCAACAACCAUUUAGUCUCUGAGGACAACACUUUUAAAGUGUAACAAUGUGGCAUCCAGAGCUUAUCCAGAUGAGCAGAGAGCAAAUGAAUUUCCUUCUGCUCCCCUGUUGAAGAGGAGAGAAAAAUUCUUCAAGCUAGCUGGAAAGGUACAUUUCCUCUUCGUGUGUUCUCACUUCCAUCCUUUACCUCGGUGAAAAGACGUUUUCCUUCCGUACACUCAUCAGUCCAAGAGGGAUGAAGCUUGUGGAAAUUUUGCAGCAGCCUUCCCUGACCAUGGUGGCCUGAAGUGCACCUUUUAUACAGGACUCCAUCAUAGGACUGGAGAGAGAUUGGAUGUCAGAGUGAUUGAUGUGCUCCUACUGGAAGAAGGCAAACAUCCAUAUGUGAACUGCCUGUGGGGUUUCCAAGGAAAGGAACGGCAGGCAGCCUCUAUGAGCUUGAAGAAGAUAACUGGGACUUUAGUCCUAUAACCUCAAGGAACAGUAUUCUGUGAACCAUCUGAGAAGCUUGGAAGAGGACCCCAAACUCCAAAUAAGAAGGUCAGUGUGUCUGACACCUUGACUGCAGGCUUGGGAGGUCCUGAGCAGAAGAUCCAGUUCAACAGUGCCUGGACUCCUGACCCACAAAAACUGAUAACAAAUAUUUAUUGUUUUAA